GGUAGUAUAGCCAAAUGGCUAAGGCGUGGCUCUGCAAAAGCCUGAUUAUAGGUUCGACUCCUAUUACUACCUCCA
rnacentral:tRNA from 2 species